CACGAUCGAUUUUACAAUCAUACAUGAGUACCAAAAUAUAAACAAAUAAUUAAGUAUUAAUACUGUAAUUAGAACUGGCCAGUAUUGCCAUUUCAACCUUCAAAAGACAGUAGUAAUAUAAUGAAAGGAAAAAAAAUUGUUUCCAACAGAUUGAAUUAAAUUACAUUUCCCUAUUAUUUCUAGCCAUAUACAAAAAUGCAGAAAUUUUUAAAGUGUUCUGGAUUUCCCAGAUUGAUUGUGGCAUUGUGUACUACGCUAUGGCUAGGACUCGUGUUUAUGUUGAUGAUCAUGCCUAACAUUUCGGCAUCAACAAGAAUUCCCCGGGAAUUAGCCCAAGUUAAUUUUCAAGACCAAGCUUUCAAAGACUGCAACUUCACGAAUUGUAAUUCUAUUGGAUCCGGAGACUUUGGAGUUGGCCCUAGUUUUCCAUGAUCAUUUGCACAUCUGAGAAAGUAUGCAUUGAAGAAGCAAACAAGCAGUUCAGCUGAAUCUAUCUCAAUUUGUGUGCAGUAAUGUAUUUAUAUCUUUUCUUCUUUCCUCCAUUAUUGCAUUAUUCUUUCUAUUCAAUAGUCAAUACAAUAUAACUUGUGUCUCAAUUGAAUUCUUUAGAAUGACAUACAGUUUAACUCAAAUGUUAUAUCAAGUGAAUUGUGGCGUUUA